UACGUAGGGUGCAAGCGUUAAUCGGAAUUACUGGGCGUAAAGCGUGCGCAGGCGGUUAUGUAAGACAGUUGUGAAAUCCCCGGGCUCAACCUGGGAACUGCAUCUGUGACUGCAUAGCUAGAGUACGGUAGAGGGGGAUGGAAUUCCGCGUGUAGCAGUGAAAUGCGUAGAUAUGCGGAGGAACACCGAUGGCGAAGGCAAUCCCCUGGACCUGUACUGACGCUCAGGCACGAAAGCGUGGGGAGCAAACAGG
rnacentral:rRNA from 1 species